rnacentral:rRNA from 1 species
AGAGUUUGAUCCUGGCUCGGGAUGAACGCUAGCUACAGGCUUAACACAUGCAAGUCGAGGGGCAGCAUGAACUUAGCUUGCUAAGUUUGAUGGCGACUGGCGCACGGGUGAGUAACACGUAUCCAACCUUCCGUUUACUCAGGGAUAGCCUUUCGAAAGAAAGAUUAAUACCUGAUAGUAUGGUGAGAUUGCAUGAUAGCACCAUUAAAGAUUUAUUGGUAAACGAUGGGGAUGCGUUCCAUUAGG